rnacentral:rRNA from 1 species
UAAGCGACUAAGCGUACACGGUGGAUGCCCUGGCAGUCAGAGGCGAUGAAGGACGUGCUAAUCUGCGAUAAGCGUCGGUAAGGUGAUAUGAACCGUUAUAACCGGCGAUUUCCGAAUGGGGAAACCCAGUGUGAUUCGUCACACUAUCAUUAACUGAAUCCAUAGGUUAAUGAGGCGAACCGGGGGAACUGAAACAUCUAAGUACCCCGAGGAAAAGAAAUCAACCGAGAUUCCCCCAGUAGCGGCGAGCGAACGGGGAGGAGCCCAGAGCCUGAAUCAGUGUGUGUGUUAGUGGAAGCGUCUGGAAAGGCGCGCGAUACAGGGUGACAGCCCCGUACACAAAAAUGCACACGCUGUGAGCUCGAUGAGUAGGGCGGGACACGUGGUAUCCUGUCUGAAUAUGGGGGGACCAUCCUCCAAGGCUAAAUACUCCUGACUGACCGAUAGUGAACCAGUACCGUGAGGGAAAGGCGAAAAGAACCCCGGCGAGGGGAGUGAAAAAGAACCUGAAACCGUGUACGUACAAGCAGUGGGAGCACAGAGCAAUCUGUGUGACUGCGUACCUUUUGUAUAAUGGGUCAGCGACUUAUAUUCUGUAGCAAGGUUAACCGAAUAGGGGAGCCGAAGGGAAACCGAGUCUUAACUGGGCGUUAAGUUGCAGGGUAUAGACCCGAAACCCGGUGAUCUAGCCAUGGGCAGGUUGAAGGUUGGGUAACACUAACUGGAGGACCGAACCGACUAAUGUUGAAAAAUUAGCGGAUGACUUGUGGCUGGGGGUGAAAGGCCAAUCAAACCGGGAGAUAGCUGGUUCUCCCCGAAAGCUAUUUAGGUAGCGCCUCGUGAAUUCAUCUCCGGGGGUAGAGCACUGUUUCGGCAAGGGGGUCAUCCCGACUUACCAACCCGAUGCAAACUGCGAAUACCGGAGAAUGUUAUCACGGGAGACACACGGCGGGUGCUAACGUCCGUCGUGAAGAGGGAAACAACCCAGACCGCCAGCUAAGGUCCCAAAGUCAUGGUUAAGUGGGAAACGAUGUGGGAAGGCCCAGACAGCCAGGAUGUUGGCUUAGAAGCAGCCAUCAUUUAAAGAAAGCGUAAUAGCUCACUGGUCGAGUCGGCCUGCGCGGAAGAUGUAACGGGGCUAAACCAUGCACCGAAGCUGCGGCAGCGACACUGUGUGUUGUUGGGUAGGGGAGCGUUCUGUAAGCCUGUGAAGGUGUGCUGUGAGGCAUGCUGGAGGUAUCAGAAGUGCGAAUGCUGACAUAAGUAACGAUAAAGCGGGUGAAAAGCCCGCUCGCCGGAAGACCAAGGGUUCCUGUCCAACGUUAAUCGGGGCAGGGUGAGUCGACCCCUAAGGCGAGGCCGAAAGGCGUAGUCGAUGGGAAACAGGUUAAUAUUCCUGUACUUGGUGUUACUGCGAAGGGGGGACGGAGAAGGCUAUGUUGGCCGGGCGACGGUUGUCCCGGUUUAAGCGUGUAGGCUGGUUUUCCAGGCAAAUCCGGAAAAUCAAGGCUGAGGCGUGAUGACGAGGCACUACGGUGCUGAAGCAACAAAUGCCCUGCUUCCAGGAAAAGCCUCUAAGCAUCAGGUAACAUCAAAUCGUACCCCAAACCGACACAGGUGGUCAGGUAGAGAAUACCAAGGCGCUUGAGAGAACUCGGGUGAAGGAACUAGGCAAAAUGGUGCCGUAACUUCGGGAGAAGGCACGCUGAUAUGUAGGUGAAGUCCCUCGCGGAUGGAGCUGAAAUCAGUCGAAGAUACCAGCUGGCUGCAACUGUUUAUUAAAAACACAGCACUGUGCAAACACGAAAGUGGACGUAUACGGUGUGACGCCUGCCCGGUGCCGGAAGGUUAAUUGAUGGGGUCAGCGCAAGCGAAGCUCUUGAUCGAAGCCCCGGUAAACGGCGGCCGUAACUAUAACGGUCCUAAGGUAGCGAAAUUCCUUGUCGGGUAAGUUCCGACCUGCACGAAUGGCGUAAUGAUGGCCAGGCUGUCUCCACCCGAGACUCAGUGAAAUUGAACUCGCUGUGAAGAUGCAGUGUACCCGCGGCAAGACGGAAAGACCCCGUGAACCUUUACUAUAGCUUGACACUGAACAUUGAGCCUUGAUGUGUAGGAUAGGUGGGAGGCUUUGAAGUGUGGACGCCAGUCUGCAUGGAGCCGACCUUGAAAUACCACCCUUUAAUGUUUGAUGUUCUAACGUGGACCCGUGAUCCGGGUUGCGGACAGUGUCUGGUGGGUAGUUUGACUGGGGCGGUCUCCUCCUAAAGAGUAACGGAGGAGCACGAAGGUUGGCUAAUCCUGGUCGGACAUCAGGAGGUUAGUGCAAUGGCAUAAGCCAGCUUGACUGCGAGCGUGACGGCGCGAGCAGGUGCGAAAGCAGGUCAUAGUGAUCCGGUGGUUCUGAAUGGAAGGGCCAUCGCUCAACGGAUAAAAGGUACUCCGGGGAUAACAGGCUGAUACCGCCCAAGAGUUCAUAUCGACGGCGGUGUUUGGCACCUCGAUGUCGGCUCAUCACAUCCUGGGGCUGAAGUAGGUCCCAAGGGUAUGGCUGUUCGCCAUUUAAAGUGGUACGCGAGCUGGGUUUAGAACGUCGUGAGACAGUUCGGUCCCUAUCUGCCGUGGGCGCUGGAGAACUGAGGGGGGCUGCUCCUAGUACGAGAGGACCGGAGUGGACGCAUCACUGGUGUUCGGGUUGUCAUGCCAAUGGCACUGCCCGGUAGCUAAAUGCGGAAGAGAUAAGUGCUGAAAGCAUCUAAGCACGAAACUUGCCCCGAGAUGAGUUCUCCCUGACCCUUUAAGGGUCCUGAAGGAACGUUGAAGACGACGACGUUGAUAGGCCGGGUGUGUAAGCGCAGCGAUGCGUUGAGCUAACCGGUACUAAUGAACCGUGAGGCUUAACCU